rnacentral:rRNA from 1 species
CAGAUGUGUAGGUGCUGCAUGGUGUCGUCAGCUCGUGCCGUGAGGUGUCGGCUUAAGUGCCAUAACGAGCGCAACCCUCAUCAUUAGUUACCAUCAGGUAAGGCUGGGGACUCUAAUGAGACUGCCAUCGUAAGAUGUGAGGAAGGUGGGGAUGACGUCAAAUCAGCACGGCCCUUACGUCCGGGGCGACACACGUGUUACAAUGGGUGGUACAAAGGGCAGCUACCUGGCGACAGGAUGCUAAUCUCCAAAGUCGGUCUCAGUUCGGAUCGGAGUCUGCAACCCGACUCCGUGAAGUUGGAUUCGCUAGUAAUCGCGCAUCAGCCAUGGCGCGGUGAAUACGUUCCCGGGCCUU